rnacentral:rRNA from 1 species
UAAUACGGAGGGGGCAAGCGUUGUUCGGAUUUACUGGGUGUAAAGGGUGUGUAGGUGGUAUAGUUAGUGGGAUGUGAAAUCUCCGAGCUCAACUUGGAAACUGCAUUCCAUACUGCUAAACUAGAGUACCGCAGAGGCAAAUGGAAUUCUUGGUGUAAGGGUGAAAUCUGCAGAUAUCAAGAAGAACACCAGUGGCGAAGGCGAUUUGCCGGGCGGAUACUGACGCUGAAACACGAAAGCUAGGGUAGCGAACGGGAUUAGAUACCCCGGUAGUCCUAGCCGUAAACGAUGGACACUAGGUGUAGGGAGGGUUACCUCUCUGUGCCGCAGCUAACGCAUUAAGUGUCCCACCUGGGGAGUACGGUCGCAAGGCUG